rnacentral:rRNA from 1 species
GUCUUGUAAUUGGAAUGAUGGUGACCCAAACCCUCACCAGAGUAGCAAUUGGAGGGCAAGUCUGGUGCCAGCAGCCGCGGUAAUUCCAGCUCCAAUAGCGUAUAUUAAACUUGUUGCAGUUAAAAAGCUCGUAGUUGAAUUUCUGCGUUGCCCGACUCGGCUACUUGCCUUGUCUGGUUUCGCUUUUGGGGUUUUCCCCUUUUUACUUUGAGAAAAUUAGAGUGUUUCAAGCAGACUUGUGUCUUGAAUACUUCAGCAUGGAAUAAUAAAGUAGGACUUUGGUUCUAUUUUGUUGGUUUGUGAACCUUAGUAAUGGUUAAUAGGAACGGUUGGGGGCAUUCGUAUUUAACUGUCAGAGGUGAAAUUCUUAGAUUUGUUAAAGACGAACUACUGCGAAAGCAUUUGCCAAGGACGUUUUCAUUAAUCAAGAACGAAAGUUAGGGGAUCGAAGACGAUCAGAUACCGUCGUAGUCCUAACCAUAAACCAUGCCGACUAGGGAUUGGAGGUCGUCAUUUUUCGACUCCUUCAGCACCUUGAGAGAAAUCAAAGUCUUUGG